UUCAUUAGGUUGUUUGGGGAUUCUG
rnacentral:piRNA from 1 species